rnacentral:rRNA from 1 species
UUGAUCCUGGCUCAGAAUCAACGCUGGCGGCGUGCCUAACACAUGCAAGUCGAACGAGAAAGUGGAGCAAUCCAUGAGUAAAGUGGCGACCGGGUGAGUUACACGUGACUAACCUACCUUCGAGUGGGGGAUAACCUCGGGAAACCGGGUCUAAUACCGCAUAAUGCCUACGGGUUAAAGGAGCAAUUCGCUUGAAGAGUGGGUCGCGGCUGAUUAGCUAGUUGGCGGGGUAACGGCCCACCAAGGCGAUGAUCGGUAGCCGGCCUGAGAGGGCGCACGGCCACACUGGAACUGAAACAUGGUCCAGACUCCUACGGGAGGCAGCAGUGGGGAAUUUUGCGCAAUGGGGUAAACCCUGACGCAGCAACGCCGCGUGGAGGAUGAAGUCCCUUGGGACGUUAACUCCUUUCGACCGGGACGAUAAUGACGGUACCGGUGGAAGAAGCCCCUGCUAACUUCGUGCCAGCAGCCGCGGUAAUU